AAGAGCGGUGUUGUCAUGUUCAAGGCUUUGAUGAGCAUUAGCAAGUCCAGAAAAGACAGGAUGUGAUGUACAAACCCGCCAAUUCAACUCGAAUGUUUCUUUUAAAACGUUGCACGCCGUCGUCUGAUAUGGGGUUCCAUUCCAUAGGAGAAGAAAUGCCCGGGUUCGGGAUAAAGUUAUUCUGGGCAGGGAUAAAGAAUAGCUCGCUGACAAGCAGAAAGCGACUUGCCAAGUGGGCCUUUGUGUUUUUCGUUACAACGAUAGUGUAACACAAGAAAAAAACAUCUUUGUAUUUCAAACCCAUAAACAAUUUUUUUUUUUAUAAUGAUCAUACACAAAGAACUUCGGGUUUUUUAGAGCC